ensembl:lncRNA
CGAGGAAGAAGGGACUGUACCAUAGAGCAUACAACUGAACUGAAGAAAUUCUGUUUUUGCUAAAGCUUUGGUUGAUGCAGGAUUCAUGGCCUCUUCCCACCCAUCACGCACCGUACUUGAACUGGAGCAUGUAUGCCACAAAGCAUUCCAGCCAGUAGCAGGUGUCCUCUGCAUAAUUCUGUGAACUACAGUGCACCACAGGCAGCAUAAAUUCAAGAAGGAAAUGUGAGCUUCCCUGGGUAAUAUGAAGGAAUGGCACGGUUAUAGACCCAGAUGGUUAGCAUUGCUCUAACAAACACUGCAACUUGGAAAAAUCAGACACAAAGCAAAACAACUUCCUGCCAUUUCCACUUUUUAUUUUCUUGGAGAGUGUUGGAAAAAUGAAAAUGUGCAGGACAAAAUCUUUAUGCUGAAACCCUUACUUUCACAUUUAACUACUUCACAGAAGAAUUCAUAUCUAACUUCAGCUUGGGGGAUGCUUCAUAGCCAUGCCUAACUGCCCCUCACAUUUAGUUUGCUGCUGCUUUUGAGAGGUGAGGCUCGUUCCUGGCACCAAAAUGCUCUUAUGGUGUGAUUUUCCUACCUUGUCAGUUUUCUCCUGAGGGAAAGCUCAGCUCAAACUAACCUCCAGCAGCAGCAGCACCGAGCUGGAUCCAGUAAGCUCUGGAGCAGGUUUUCUGCUAGUAACCUCCAAGACUGCCUUUUCAUCCCUCAAAAUUUGCCACGGGCAACUUUGCUCGCUUCCAAUAUCAGUUCUAUCAGACAACUCAUUCUUAAGUCUCUUUCUUCCACAUAGACCUAUUCCCUUCUACUCGUAUUUUAACAACUUGGAUAGAAGGCAUUUUGAUUUCACCUCCCGAGCUGCAGCACUGCCUCUGUGUUGUGCAGCAAGAGGGGCAUCUUUUCUCCUUUCAUGGCUUUUCUUUUCUUCCCACACUUAUACAACAAUGUAAUGAUGGGAAAUCAGCAGCAGCUCUGUUUUGGUCAAAGCACUCAUCCCUUUGCUCAGAUGUGUUCA